GUUUAUAUAAUUUAUAAAAGAAUAUUGUAUUGAAGCUACAAAAGAGAUAAUUUUUGUCUGUAAACA
rnacentral:tRNA from 1 species